rnacentral:lncRNA from 1 species
GCAGAAACUCAGUUACAUCAGAUCACUGAGCCAGGCACUUGGCUUAAACAAGUGACCCUUCUACAGGGUCUUUCUUUGACCUCUUUGAUUUUGACUCGUUUGAGUCUCAGGGACCAUGGCUCUGAAGUACACUCCAAACAUUGGGAAUUCUCCUGCUUAUAAUAAUCAUAAUAAACUCCCAGGUGUACUGUAUUCUCUCAAAGGCUUUAAAUGCAUGUUUGCAGCUGCUAAAUACCAAGUAAAUUUCAGAAAAGAAACAAAGAGGAUAACCAACUUAAAUGAGUGUCACAGAGAUUAAACAACAACAACAAAAAGUCAUGGCCCAGGAAAUACCACCCGAAGGAUCAAAGUUUACAAAGCCUGCAAGAACUACAGAGUGGCAUCUGUAGUGAGAGUGGUGCUAAUGCUUAAAAUUUUGAUCAUAUCUCUCAGUUAAGCUAAGAUCCUGAUCUGGAAUUAUAGAGUUGUUAAAGAUAAAACAGCAUGAGUUCCCCUUGUGGCUCAGCAGUAACAAACCCAGCUAGUAUCCAUGAGUAUGUGGGUUCAAUCCCUGGCCCCUCUCAGUGGGUUAAGGAUCCGGCAUUGUCAUGAGCUGUGGUGUAGGUCACAGGCAUGGCCUGGAUCUGGCAUUGCUGAGGCUGUGGCACAGGCUGGCAGCUGCAGCUUGCAGCAGCUCAAAUUUUACCCCUAGCCCGGGAAUUUCCAUAUGCCGCAGGCGCAACCCUUAAAAAAAAAAGAAAGAAAAGAAACAAAGGGCCCCAAAUGGAAGUGACUUGUGUUAGGCUCAUGACAGCAGACCAAGCCUUAAUAUCUAACUACUUUCCCAGAAAUGUGACCUUUAACUAGCCACCCUGGAAUUUCCUUUCUGGUCAGCUCUAAGAAAUAUGCUAAUAGGCCCCUUCCAUUUCCAUUCCCUAAAACAGUGCAUUCUUUGCUAAUAAUUUAGUUUUCCUUUUUGCUCCCUCUCUCUCUUUACAAACGUUUCCUUUUCUGCAGCUCAGUGGAGCCCCUUUCUAUUGCUAGAUUGGAUGCUUUCUGAUUCAUGAAUCAUUUAAUAGAACCCAGAAGAUCUUCACAUUUACUCAGCUGAAUUUUUGUUUUUUAACGCCCAUUGGCUUUCAAAGCUAGGUGAUUUGGGGACACAUCCAUUAGGUGGCAGCUGUAAAAGUUGGGGUGCUAGAGUGUGUGGAAAAGGUCCUUCUAGGGUGGUGCUGGUGGCCCUUAUAUUAUUGGAGCGAGCCAGAGGGAGAAGGUGAAGUGCCCACCAGCUCUUUCCAGCUGGAUCCAGGUAUCCCAGCCCGCACCUAGAUGCAUGCUAUUCAGAGGACAGAUCCUCCGUCAGUGGCCUGUAAAGUAUGCAGUCAAACCUCUUCCAGAGAAAGACUAGGAGAUGGGUAUUUUCGCCUGUACCCUCCGCAUUGAGUUCUGGGGCAUAGACACAAGAGCGCUAUCUUUGUUUGCUAGGGUCCUUUCAGGUCAUGAAUGUGAGCCCCAUUGGUUUUCAGCUGGGUUAUUUGGGGACCAUCCCACAGGUGGCAGGCUUAAAAGUUCAGGCACUAGAUGUAUGGUUUGCUCCUUAUGAAGAAGCUGGGAGUGCAGGUUUCCCUCCUGACUGUACAGUGCUAUGCUGGGAGUAAGUUUUAUGGUGAGAGUGUGCCUACCUUUUUUAAAUGUGGGUGUUUUUUCUAUAACCCAGUGUGUUUAGAUCACUCUGCUGUUUCUGGAUGUCUCUGAGAGAACUGCUUCAUGUGUAGCUAUAUAUUUGGUCCUGCUGUGGGAGGAAGGAAAUUCAGGAGUCUCCUUCCUGUAUUGCCAUCUUGGUUCGGAAUUCCCAAAUGUUUCUCAGGAAAUGUAAAUUCUCCAGUAUUUCUAUCCUCCUCCCAAAUUUUAAGAACAUUAGUAUGCUUUCACACUCCUAGUCUAUUUUUGGUUAGAAUUUUAUAAUUUGUUUUAAUGUAAAAAAAAAAAAAAAGUUCAAGUAGUUAGCAUUUUUAUGGUCAUUAUUUAAAUUUUAUCAGUAUCUGUGUCACCAUAUUAUCCUGUUCCUUCUCUUGGUGAAAUUUAUCUUUUUAAGAGUUCUUGAAGUGAGGGUUUGUGGGUUUAAUUUUCACAUGCCUAAAAAUGUCUUCAUUUUCACUCCCUCCAUAAUGGUAAUUUAACUGGGUAUGAAAUUCCAGGCUGAGAAUUAAUUUCCCUCAGCACUCCAACAAUAUUACUUUAUUUUCUACCCACAUUCAUUCUUUCUUUUCUGAAAUCUACCAUUUAUCCAACUGCUGUGUCUUUGAAGGCAAGCUUUCUUUUCCCACUAAUAGUUUUUAAUAUUAUAUUCUUGACAUUUUUUUUCAUUUUCACUAUUUUGUCUAGAAAUUGACAUAUUUUUAUUAAUUCUGUUUGAUAUUCAGUGUGUUUUAUGAUCUGAAAAUUUGUACUUUCCUUCUUCAGAUGUUCUCCAUCAUUCACAUGUAAGGUUGCUGUGAGCUACUUUUAGGUAUUUCCUUUUGUUUUUAUUUUCCCUUUACCUGACAAUAACCUCUCCAGGUCUAAUAGUUUUAUGGUAGGUUCCAUCUAGUAUACCAAGUGCCCAGUCUUAAACAAGAUCUUAUAAUGGUAAAUCAGGAUUCCCAUCCAAAAGUGAAUUGUGGAGAUCUCUAGGAAGUUUAUUUCCAUCACUAGACUAUAUUAGAAAGCAUGUUGUUAAAGAAGGCUGCUAAGUCAUGAAAUAAAAACAGCAUAACACAUACAUGGCAUAAUGAAAAGUGAUUUCCUCACCUUCAAAAGCAUCCCCAGUUUUCAUGUUACUCUACAAGGUUCAGAUAUACAUAGAUUAUAAAUGCACAUGUAUCUCCAGUGUUUUAUUUUAAUGUAUAAUAAAAUAUUAUGUUUUAAGUUAAACAUAUUAGACUGGAAAACAUCAGUUAACAUUCCAGGAAUAAAGAAGCAGCAAGAGCCUGUCAGCUUUCACUUCAGUAAGAGCAGAGUUGUUGCCCACAUCAGAUGAAUGUAUUGUCUACAAGAGUUGGCAAUAUAGCCAAUAUUAACAAAAGCAUCAAGUUCAGGACAUCAUUGGUCUGAACCUGUCAUUGCUUGUGACAAAAAGUUCAUAUUCAAAAAUUAUUUUAAUAUGUAAAAUAGAGAUUGACAUCGCUAAUAUAUUUAUGCUGUUGUCAUCUGGAUCAACUGGACAUUAUUAGAAAAUUUUGAAUAAUACUAUUUUUAUAUUUACUUCUUCCCCAUAAGCUAGUGAUUUGUUCAUAUUAAUGUAAUGAUAAAAAAGAACAUGUUUUAAUCUACUCACUAUCGCCUGCUUUUUCUUUAUUUCUUAAAUGUAAAUCAGUCUUGCUAAAAGCAUUUUUAAUUACCCAAGUGUAUCUGACACUUCUUGAGUGCCACUAAAAAUCUUUUCAGCUUCAACCCUCAUUCCAGCCACUGCUGCAACCACCUGGUUUUUUCAUCCCUGGGGAACUCCCCCCUCUCCCCCCGACCCACUCCCAAGCUUACUGUACCCUACCCCUUGCUUCAUCUUAUCACAAUCCAGAAGCAGGGGAUUUAACAUCACAUGGGCCAUCCUUGACCAGUGGAGAGAGAAGUUAAUAGAUAGAGGUUUCUCCUUUCUCCUUGGAUGGUUUUUAGACAUAAUUUCUCCCACAGGAUUAAGCAACCAGUCACGAGUAACAGUGGCCAUUGUAUUAGCUUCAUUGUAUUGGCUUGCUUUCUCUCUUCAUUCCCUUUCUCUCUCACUUCUGCUCCUAGGAUCACGUGUUUUACUCAGGCUCUGUUUUCAGGGAAAUUUCUGCUAAAAUAAAGAUGCUUUUUAAGAACCUAACCAUUGAGGAGUUCCCAUCAUGGCUCAGUGGUUAACAAAUCCGACUAGGAACCAUGAGGUUGCGGGUUCGAUCCCUGGCCUUGCUCAGUGAGUUAAGGAUCCAGUGUUGCUGUGAGCUGUGGUGUAGGUUGCAGACACGGCUCGGAUCCUGCGUUGCUAUGGCUCUGGUGUAGGCUGGUGGCUACAGCUCCAAUUAGACCCCUAGCCUGCGAACCUCCAUAUGCCGUGGGUGUGGCCCUAGAAAUGGCAAAAAAAAAAAAAAAAAAAAAAAAA